AUUGUACCGCCAAGCAUUUGUGA
rnacentral:piRNA from 1 species